rnacentral:sRNA from 1 species
AUGUACCACUCGUACACUCCGGUUCUGAGCGCACUGUCCGCACCCACCUGACGACCGCUCGCUACGUUUUAUUCGCC